AUUGAACGCUGGCGGCAGGCUUAACACAUGCAAGUCGAGCGGAUGACGGGAGCUUGCUCCUUGAUUCAGCGGCGGACGGGUGAGUAAUGCCUAGGAAUCUGCCUGGUAGUGGGGGACAACGUUUCGAAAGGAACGCUAAUACCGCAUACGUCCUACGGGAGAAAGCAGGGGACCUUCGGGCCUGGCGCUAUCAGAUGAGCGUAGGUCGGAUUAGCUAGUUGGUGGGGUAAUGGCUCACCAAGGCGACGAUCCGUAACUGGUCUGAGAGGAUGAUCAGUCACACUGGAACUGAGACACGGUCCAGACUCCUACGGGAGGCAGCAGUGGGGAAUAUUGGACAAUGGGCGAAAGCCUGAUCCAGCUAUGCCGCGUGUGUGAAGAAGGUCUUCGGAUUGUAAAGCACUUUAAGUUGGGAGGAAGGGCAGUAAGUUAAUACCUUGCUGUUUUGACGUUACCGACAGAAUAAGCACCGGCUAACUCUGUGCCAGCCGCCGCGGUAACAC
rnacentral:rRNA from 1 species